CUAGCCCCCUAGAGAAGCCCCACGGGCUCUGCAGACAUCCACCUGAGCCACAGACUCCAGCACUUGCAGGAGCUGAUCCAGCUAAGGGAAAGAGACAGUUCCCAGGAAUGGGACAGUGACCAAGUGUCCCAGCCAGAGAACCUUAAAGGGGCAGAAGAAGGAGGAAGGAGCAAUAAAAGCUGUCUAGCAGAGAACCCGCUCACAAAGUAAAGAACACGGAAGAGCAUGCGAUCAGUGAGCCUAGUGACAUGGCUGACAUGGGUCAAAAUGACCCUUUUUGGAUAACCUCACGCUAAGAGCUUAAGUGAAUGAUUUAUGAGAGAGUAAACUAUGGCUGAACUUUGGUCUGUGUGUCUGCUUUGCAAUCCCUUCCAAAAUUAUGAAGUAAACCAAUCAUAAACACCUACGAGGCAUAUUUCUGGAACAUGUGACUCCUUUGAGAACCAAAAGGUAUAUAAGUGCUAAGCAAAGUAAAUGACUCAGAUCCAUUCCCCAAUUAAUACCUGAAGAGGUUCAAGACUGAGAGACAGAAGUCGUCGGGGUAACCGAAACCCCGCCUUGAGGGACCUUUGCAAGACCUUAGAACCAGAAGUCAUCAGGGUAACCAAGGCCCUGCUUCGAGGGACAGACCAAGUGCCUGAGAGGGGACAGAGGAAAGAGGAGCAGUCUCCAUCUAGGGCUGGUAGCUAUACCUGCUUUGUUUGCCAAUCAGGACACUGUGUAAGGCCAACAGAGUGACUGAGGGGUUAUGCUGGGGGAACUGAGGCUUAUGGAAAAGAAUGUAUACCAUGCAACCUUAACUGCUUGUGCGAGUCUCUCUCAA